rnacentral:rRNA from 1 species
CCCUUAGACGUUCUGGGCCGCACGCGCGCUACACUGACCAGUGCAACAAGCAUCCGUCCUUGGCCGACAGGCUCGGGCAAUCUUUGAACGCUGGUCGUGAUGGGGAUAGACUUUUGCAAUUUUUGGUCUUCAACGAGGAAUUCCUAGUAAACGCAAGUCAUCAACUCGCAUUGAUUACGUCCCUGCCCUUUGUACACACCGCCCGUCGCACCUACCGAUUGAAUGGUCCGGUGAAGCCUCCGGAUUGGCGCGCACCUCGGUGCCGCCGAGAAGUUGGCUAAACCUUACCAUUUAGAGGAAGGUGAAGUCGUAACA